rnacentral:rRNA from 1 species
GAUGAACGCUGGCGGCGUGCCUAACACAUGCAAGUCGAGCGAACAGACGAGGAGUUUGCUCCGCUGACGUUAGCGGCGGACGGGUGAGUAACACGUGGAUAACCUACAUAUAAGACUGGGAUAACGUCGGGAAACCGGAGCUAAGACCGGAUAAUAUAUCGAAACGGAGGGUUCAAGAGUGAAAGAAGGUUUUUGUGUGAAUUAUAGACGGAUCAGCGCCGCAUUAGCUAGUUGGCAAGGUAACGGGUUACCAAGGCAACGACGCGUAGCCGACCUGAGAGGGUGGUCGCCCACCCGGGAGCUUAGACACGGUCCAUACUCCUGCGGGAGGCAGCAGUCGGGAAUCUUCCGCAAUGGGCGAGAGCCUUACAGAGCAACGCCGCGUGAGUUAUGACGGUCUUCGGAUCGUAAAGCUCUGUUAUUAGGGGUGAACAAAUGUGUAAGUAACUGUGCACAUCUUGACGGUACCUGAUCAAAAAGCCACGGCUAACUACGUG